rnacentral:lncRNA from 1 species
AACGACGGUUAUAAGCGUCGGGAAAAUACAACACUUUUAAGCGUCGACAAUAAACGUCGCUUAUAAGCGUCGUCGAAUGCGAGCACACCACCCUAACCCAGCGACCGAACCCGAUCGAGCCCUUAUUUCUCCUCUCCGGCGCUGCUCGAGCUUCCGUGUUGCUCCUCUCCGGCGCUGCCCUAGGUUCCAUCUUGCUCCUCUCCGGUGCUAUCAUCACUUCCGUCUUGCUCCUCUCCGGUGCCGGCCGUCCGACUCCAACCCCUUCUCCUCCUCCCUCCUCUCCGGCGCCGACCGAUCGACCCCAACCCCUCCGCUCGAGGUAUUUUCUCUUCCUCCCUC